GUUUUUGUUAAUGUCAGAAGAUAUUUGCUUGAAGCCCUAGAGAAUUUCUCAGGCCUUGGGAUUUAUCAACCAAAACAUCUCUGUAAGUGCCCCAGCAUCAUCAACUGAUGGCAGCACAGCUCUGGGAAUAAACAGACUUUAGCUAAUGGCAGGAAUCGACAGGGAAAACAUGAAACAGAGAAAGCAAUACCAGGAUAGCAGCACUGUCAUUUCCAAGAUGUGGACACUGUCUCCUGCAACAGAAUAGCAGCAGCAGGGCUGGUUUCAGCAGAUCACUGCAUUUGAAGGCAUAUUUUGAUAGAAU